GAUGAACGCUAGCGGCAGGCUUAACACAUGCAAGUCGAGGGGCAGCAUGAGACGGAGAUUCGUCAAAGUCUUGAUGGCGACCGGCGCAAGGGUGCGUAACGCGUGAGCAACUUGCCCGUUUCAGGGGGAUAACCGGUGGAAACGCCGACUAAUACCCCAUGGCAUUGGCUGGAGGCAUCUCCGGCCAAUUAAAGGAAUUCGGAAGCGGAUAGGCUCGCGUGACAUUAGCUAGAUGGCGGGGUAACGGCCCACCAUGGCGACGAUGUCUAGGGGUUCUGAGAGGAAGGUCCCCCACACUGGAACUGAGACACGGUCCAGACUCCUACGGGAGGCAGCAGUGGGGAAUAUUGGGCAAUGGGCGCAAGCCUGACCCAGCAACGCCGCGUGAAGGAAGAAGGGCUUUCGGGUUGUAAACUUCUUUUGUCAGGGACGAACAAAUGACGGUACCUGACGAAUAAGCCACGGCUAACUACGUG
rnacentral:rRNA from 1 species